rnacentral:rRNA from 1 species
GACGAACGCUGGCGGCGUGCCUAAUACAUGCAAGUAGAACGCACAGUUUAUACCGUAGCUUGCUACACCAUAGACUGUGAGUUGCGAACGGGUGAGUAACGCGUAGGUAACCUGCCUGGUAGCGGGGGAUAACUAUUGGAAACGAUAGCUAAUACCGCAUAAUAUUAAUUAUUGCAUGAUAAUUAAUUGAAAGGUGCAAUUGCACCACUACCAGAUGGACCUGCGUUGUAUUAGCUAGUAGGUGAGGUAACGGCUCACCUAGGCGACGAUACAUAGCCGACCGGAGAGGGUGAUCGGCCACACUGGGACUGAGACACGGCCCAGACUCCUACGGGAGGCAGCAGUAGGGAAUCUUCGGCAAUGGACGAAAGUCUGACCGAGCAACGCCGCGUGAGUGAAGAAGGUUGUCGGAUCGUAAAGCUCUGUUGUAAGAGAAGAACGGGUGUGAGAGUGGAAAGUUCACACUGUGACGGUAUCUUACCAGAAAGGGACGGCUAACUACGUG